GAUUGCAAACAUGUGAGAGGUUUGGUGAGUAACCACCAUAAUCAAAAGUUCAUUAAUUUUUCAUUGCAUCAAUUUCAUGCCAUUAAUUUACAAGAAAGAGAAAGAUAACACAAGUAUAGUUAAAUUUGGGGUGGGCAUGAACAUAGAUUUGGUUAUAUGUUAGUAUGAUAUUUAAGAUUUUAAGUUGGUUCUAAGCUAAAUUUGUUCCUUCAUUAUUGAUUAUAUGAGAAUUUUUGUGAAAGCUUUUCAUUUGCUUCUUGUCGAUUGAAGUUUUAUUUACCCUUUUGAACGAAAAAAAUAGCAGCUUA
rnacentral:misc_RNA from 1 species